UAGGGAAUCUUCCGCAAUGGGCGAAAGCCUGACGGAGCAACGCCGCGUGAGUGAUGAAGGUCUUCGGAUCGUAAAACUCUGUUAUUAGGGAAGAACAUAUGUGUAAGUAACUGUGCACAUCUUGACGGUACUAAUCAGAAAGCCACGGCUAACUACGUGCCAGCAGCCGCGGUAAUACGUAGGUGGCAAGCGUUAUCCGAAAUUAUUGGGCGUAAAGCGCGCGUAGGCGGUUUUUUAAGUCUGAUGUGAAAGCCCACGGCUCAACCGUGGAGGGUCAUGGGAAACUGGAAAACUUGAGUGCAGAAGAGGAAAGUGGAAUUCCAUGUGUAGCGGUGAAAUGCGCAGAGAUAUGGAGGAACACCAGUGGCGAAGGCGACUUUCUGGUCUGUAACUGACGCUGAUGUGCGAAAGCGUGGGGAUCAAACAGGAUUAGAUACCCUGGUAGUCCACGCCGUAAACGAUGAGUGCUAAGUGUUAGGGGGUUUCCGCCCCUUAGUGCUGCAGCUAACGCAUUAAGCACUCCGCCUGGGGAGUACAUGAGAAGGUUG
rnacentral:rRNA from 1 species